rnacentral:rRNA from 1 species
AUCUAUGGCCAUACCACCCCAAACACACCCUAUUUCUUCUGGUCUCAGAAGCCAAGCAGGGUCAGGCCUGGUUAGUACAUGGAUGGGAGAAAGACUAAUAUUGCAUAUU